AUUGAACGCUGGCGGCAGGCCUAACACAUGCAAGUCGAGCGAGCGGCGGACGGGUGAGUAAUAUCUGGGGAUCUGCCCGAUAGAGGGGGAUAACUACUGGAAACGGUAGCUAAUACCGCAUACUAUCGGAUGUACCCAUAUGGGAUUAGCUAGUAGGUGGGGUAAUGGCUCACCUAGGCGACGAUCUCUAGCGGGUCUGAGAGGAUGACCAGCCACACUGGGACGGAGACACGGCCCAGACUCCUACGGGAGGCAGCAGUGGGGAAUAUUGCACAAUGGGCGCAAGCCUGAUGCAGCCAUGCCGCGUGUGUGAAGAAGGCCUUAGGGUUGUAAAGUACUUUCAGCGAGGAGGCGUUACCCGCAGAAGAAGCACCGGCUAACUUCGUGCCAGCAGCCGCGGUAAUAC
rnacentral:rRNA from 1 species